UAACCUGUGGCCGAAAAGUUCCUCAAAAUGAGCUUCAGGAACUGACAUAAGUUUAGUUUAAAUUCAGAAUUCAGUUUUUUCGGAACUUUUCUAGAUUGCAGUGUAUGUACCUACUUAUAAGGCAAUUCGGUUUUCUUUUUAAAUUAGUUAAGAGUUGGCGUAAGUGUAAUGAUGGCGUUUCGUUUAGCGUCUGCUAAAUCUCCGCUACGUGGACUCCUCAAUGCUCUGCCAAAGUUAAGUUUUGGUAAAUAUGGCUUAGUUCGAAACAGCAGUAUAUUUGUUGAGCCACCUGUUCCUUGGUUGGAUAAUCCAAGUAUUGUCUUUUCAUCCACUGCCUUAAAACAUCAUUGGGGGGUAAGUAAUUGCAUUGUUCAAGCUUGGCAUCGUU